GGGAGCCCUAGCACAGGUGCUGCAUGGCCGUCGUCAGCUCGUGCCGUGAGGUGUUGGGUUAAGUCCCGCAACGAGCGCAACCCCCGCCGUUAGUUGCCAGCGGUUCGGCCGGGCACUCUAACGGGACUGCCCGCGAAAGCGGGAGGAAGAGGGGACGACGUCUGGUCAGCAUGGCCCUUACGGCCUGGGCGACACACGUGCUACAAUGCCCACUACAAAGCGAUACCACCCGGCAACGGGGAGCUAAUCGCAAAAAGGUGGGCCCAGUUCGGAUUGGGGUCUGCAACCCGACCCCAUGAAGCCGGAAUCGCUAGUAAUCGCGGAUCAGCCAUGCCGCGGUGAAUACGUUCCCGGGCCUU
rnacentral:rRNA from 1 species